GCUGGCGUGGCGAAAUUAGCAGACGCGCCCGGUUUGGGGCCGGGUGUUCCCCCAGGAACUUGCGGGUGCAAAUCCCGCCGCCAGCA
rnacentral:tRNA from 1 species